rnacentral:rRNA from 1 species
AUUGAACGCUGGCGGCAGGCCUAACACAUGCAAGUCGAACGAGUGGCGGACGGGAGAGUAAUGUCUGGGAAACUGCCUUAUGGAGGGGGAUCACUACUGGAAACGAUAGCUAAUACCGCAUACUAUCGGAUGCGCCGAGAUGGGAUUAGCGAGUAGGUGGGGUAAGGGCUCACCUAGGCGACGAUCCCUAGCUGGUCUGAGAGGAUGACCAGCCACACUGGAACUGAGACACGGUCCAGACUCCUACGGGAGGCAGCAGUGGGGAAUAUUGCACAAUGGGCGCAAGCCUGAUGCAGCCAUGCCGCGUGUAUGAAGAAGGCCUUCGGGUUGUAAAGUACUUUCAGCGGGGAGGCGUUACUCGCAGAAGAAGCACCGGCUAACUCCGUGCCAGCAGCCGCGGUAAUUC